UACGGAGGGUGCAAGCGUUAUCCGGUAUUACUGGGUUUAAAGGGUGCGUAGGCGGCUUAGUAAGUCAGGGGUGAAAUGUCACGGCUCAACCGUGGAAUUGCUUUUGAUACUGCUGAGCUUGAAUCAGGAUGAGGUUGGCAGAAUGUGGCAUGAAGCGGUGAAAUGCAUAGAUAUGCCAUAGAACACCGAUUGCGAAGGCAGCUGGCUAGACCUUGAUUGACGCUGAGGCACGAAAGCGUGGGGAGCGAACAGG
rnacentral:rRNA from 1 species